rnacentral:lncRNA from 1 species
GUGUCUUGCUGGGGAACUCUGCCUACCUGAGGUCUUCUAAGGAAUUGUCAGCAAACUGAAAACUCUUUGGCUCCCAUGCUCCCUUGCCCGCUCUGUCUAUGCAUGCUUGCUCCCUUCAUUCACAGCUCACUAUGCUGUCGGCGCAACGUGCUGCUGCACCACUCAGUGCCACGGAAUCUCUUUCAUUCCCACAGCCCUUUGGGCACUGUUGUAUUACAAUAGUAAUAUUAAAUGGUUUGAUCCACUUCCCUCUGAAGUCGGUGGACAUCCAGCAUAGGGUUUCUCUCUCUUUCAAGGCACAUGAUAGACGGUGUCAGGAAUCCUCUCUUUGCUGUUGCUUUAUCCACCUGUGCUACACACUGGUUCAGCACAGAGCUUAUUAGCAGCUACCAGAAGAGAUGGAUGCUGAUUGUGGAAAAGGCUGAGAGCCGACCUGUCAGAUGGAAAUGGUUUCCAAUAAUUCUCCAGAGGGUGUUUUCUGAGAGAAUGCAUUUAUUUGCACGAUGGAAUAGUCAUUUCAGCCUGUAUCUGCAACAGUACAUUACCAUACCGAGCCGUGCUACUGGCUAUUAUGCACCAGGGGGAAUUUCUUUAGCACUUAAGAGUGAACCUAGCAAGCUAUAGCUCUGAAGCUGAGUGAAAAAAGGAAUGAGAAGUUUUACUGGAGGGGGUAGCAGAGACGAUCCCUUCCCACCACAAAGUGUGUCCCAGGCAGGCUGUUCCCCCAUGAUCACUGUUGCUGUGACUGUGCAAGUUGCCUGAGAUGGGAGCUGAGGGCAUGUUCUCAUGGUAGGGAAAGCAUUUCCCCCCCACUCUGAGCGUUCUCCCUCGGCAGCAACCAGCCCUUCACAAGCAAUUUUGGUAUGAGAGCACAGGGGUUGUGUUUAUUUGCCUGUAAAGUAACAAAUCUGAGACUUAAUCAGGCUUCUGUUUCUUUCAUUGCCCGAGGAAACCUGCAAGCCUUAAAUAGCUUUUCUGGUCUUGUUCUUUAUGUUUUGGAGGGAACUUUUGCAAAUCACUGAGCAUUUUGCUUUGGUGGGCAGGUUACUUCAUGCUGCAGUACCACCAGCUAUUGCUCUUACAGCGAAGGAUCAAUAGCAUUUUCCACUGUGAAUGUGCCUCCCCUGUUCUUUCCCCAGUCCCAUUCUUUUUGCCUUUGUGGGCUUCAUCUGCAAGGCAGACGGUUCCCUCUGCUUUGGGAAGUGAUACGUUCUCCCACAUAGGAAAUUGGUUCAGCUUGGGGUUUUCAGUGCAGCCUAAGGUGUACAGGCAUGCAGAGGGACAGGAGCUGCACCAGAAGCUGUCCGUGGGCUGGGCCAAGCAGGAAUCUGUGGGCGGCUGAGUCGGAUGUAGAGGUGCAGAGCCGCGGGAGAUGUUCAAGGCAAGGGCUGAGGCAGAAGAGCUUAUUACGUGGGUAUGGCCAGAGGCAGGUACCCAUCUUGUUCCUGACAGGGUGUUUUGACAGCUGUGGGAGCUGGGAACUGGAAGAGCAGGUAGAGCCUUGCAGGAGUACAGGGCUGAGCACUGGGACCUCAGCUGCUGCCAGCAGCUCUGCCCAAACCCAGGUCCUGUCCAAACCUCCAGUCCUCACUCUGCAUCUUCCCCCUCUUCAUCUGUAUGCGCUGGGUGUGAGGGCACAGGUGUGAGGAUGCAGUUGGUGGGAGGCUCUGGAGCAAGAGCAGGAGCAGGCUGGGUGGUUUGAACAGGUAAUUCCGGCCAUUGUGGCAGGAAGAAGUUUGCCACAGGCAAGUCACAAGGCAAUUUUGUGCUCGGGUUCAUUUUCUCAGUGUGGGAAGACAGGGAAGGCUGAAGCUGAACGUAUGGUUAUGAUAUAACAAGCAUCAGAAAUAAUGUUGAGUCGAAGGCUGAGCCAAGGAGGAAGCCAUGGUUAAGACAGGUAAAGAAGAGAUCUCAAUAUUUUCUGCAAAAGAAAAUUUAAGGAGAAGAUCUGGGGAAGGCAUAGAAUCACACACAUGCCAGUGUAACAUGUUACGGGACAGCUGCCUUCUGCAGUGACUGCGUGUUCCCCAGCAAAGCGAGCUGUGGUCUGUCUAGUGUGUGGUCUUGCUGCGAGAGGACAAAUCUCUGCUGUCACAGAGCACCCAGGGCUCAGAGGAGGGAGAGGCAAAGCUAGAAGCUCACCACUGAGCAUCUCCAGAUACGGCUGCUGGCAGAGCUUGUGUAGCUCAGGAAGUUAUCACAGAGGCAAUGCUCCCUAAGGGACUAUCCCAGCACCCACUCACCACAUUCACCUGCACGUAAUGACAGACGAGGAGUGGACAUAGUAAUGUAUUUUGCAGAAGACAGCUGAGUAAAGGUUAGAUGUUUCAGUGGGGAUCUGUAGUUUUUCACCCAGUUCUACAAAAGACUACAACAGGAACUGAAUCGAUCCCAUCCUGCUUUCAAAGAUGGACCCAGGGAACAGGAGCAAGGACACAACCAAACUGGAAAUCAUUACACUUCAAGGCUGCACGCACAUGGUUUUCAGAAGGCAUUCAGGUCAGCCUCCACCCUGGAGGGAACCAAGCACAUUCUGUACUGGGAAGGGAAAAGUCUGAGCCAACUAUGUAAU